AAUGCUUCUCGGCCUUUUGGCUAAGAUCAAAUGUAGUUCUUAUCUUAUCAGUUUAUCAGUUCUUAUCAGUUUAAUAUCUGUUACGUCCUGAAGACAAUAUAUUAAAUGGAUAUUAGUUGUUGAUUUGUGUUUUCCCAAGUGCUUAAUAUAGUGCUCUGCACACAGUAAGUGCUCGAUCAAUAUGAUUGAAUGCAUUAAGCAGCU
rnacentral:snRNA from 2 species